GAUGAAGAACGCAGCGAAAUGCGAUAAGUAAUGUGAAUUGCAGAAUUCAGUGAAUCAUCGAAUCUUUGAACGCACAUUGCGCCCGCCAGUAUUCUGGCGGGCAUGCCUGUCUGAGCGUCAUUUCAACCCUCAAGACCCCUUCGGGGGACUUGGUGUUGGGGACCGGCACAGGGGCCUGCCUGCUUGUCUUGCAGCGCCCUCGCCGCCCCCGAAAUGAAUUGGCGGCCUCGUCGCGGCCUCCCCUGCGUAGUAGCACAACCUCGCAACGGGAACGUGACGGCGGCCACUGCCGUAAAACAACCCCAAUUUUAUUAGAGUUGACCUCGAAUCAGGUAGGAAUACCCGCUGAACUUAAGCAUAUCAAUAAGCGGAGGA
rnacentral:misc_RNA from 1 species